GCAGCACGGAGAGAGCAACACAGAGAGCAGCACGGAGAACAACCCUGAGCAACAGAGAGAGCGACGUCCAGGGCAGCACAGAGAGAGCAACACGGAGAGGCGUCCAGGGCAGCAGAGCAGAGCUGACAGGAUGCUUGCAGAGAGGGGACGUUCGACGGAUACCAGAAAGUCCAGGUGUUACGACGCGACAUUAUAACUGCGGCAGAGCGUGAAGCUCUGCCCAGCGCGGCGGACCGGAGUGCCACCGAGGGGGACACGGACGACGAGUCCUGAAAGGAAGAAGCCUCGGAGUUUCCUGCCUGCUGCACUUUCGGACUUUGGUUGCCAUCAAAGACUGGUUUUUAUAGUUUUAUUGGAUUCCUGGGAACAUUUUUAGAACAAUAGAUUUUAGAAAAGUCAUUGCUUUUGCUGUUUAAUUCAUUUGAAAUAAAUUGUACCUGGUUGCAUCUUC